CAGCCCUCUUUUAAUUUUUUUUUUUGGUGCUUGGAAUAGAACCUGGGGCCUCGUACAUGUUAGACAAGUGCUCUACCACUGAGUUACAUCCCCAUCUCUUUGACUUUUUUCAAUGAUAACAUAUCCAUUUAUAAUUUAUAUACAUAAUUAAUUUUUAAUUAAUUAAUUUUUAAAAAUUUAAAGGAAAAAGGUGUGGAAACUUUCUGACUGGAUCGGCUUGGGUCAUCUGACUUUUCCUAGACCAAUCAACUACAACCAAAGGGCCACUAGAGUUUGUGAUUGCCCAAGCUGUUUUAUAAGCUGUGAACUCUGGUGCAAUACACAGAUUGGCAGCUCCCAGUGACAUGCUUGAGUGAGUGAUAUGAGAGCAGUUCCCCAAGAAAGGGAAUAAAUAUCAAUAGGGAAAGCUUUUGGACAUCAUUGUUUUCACAAGUUUGUGCGUCAUCCAAAUCCAAAGUAUUUUGUUCAAUAUAUUUCUAUUACAAUACAGGUGGAGCAUCUCCAAUCCAAAAACUUUUAAAUUUGAAAUAUUCCAAAACUCUGAAACACAUCACAGAUUGUCCACAUUGGUGGCCCAGUGACUUAUGACUCAAUGGUGCUUCCUUUCUAGGUGACAGGGAGUUUGCAAAUGCUCCCCUAGCCCAUGUCAGAGCCACUGGGCAGCAGUGGGAGACCAGCCACUAUGCAAGAGAAGAUGGGCAGUUCACCCAGGGAUGGUUCAUCAGAGUCUUCUCUCAUCCGCAAAGUCUGUCCCUUAUCUGGGGGUGAGCACGUCCUCUACUAUCCAUCACCUUGUAGUUGUAGAAGUAUCAGUCAAAACUUUUCUGAGGAGGCUCACCAUGAAGAAGAGCAGAGUCCCAGGGACCAAGCAUUGGGAGCCCCACAGAAAGCGGGGCAGGUUUGUAAAGAGUCCAAGAAAGGAAGAAGGGUGGUCUGAGGGAAGAAGAGAGGUUGAACCCAGGGUCUCCCACAUGCUAGGCAAAAGCUCUACCACUGAGUGACAUCUCCAGUUCUUAACUCUGUGCUUUCAUUCUCGCUCUUGCACCAGCCCCAGUGAUCACCAGAAACCAGGCUGCAUUUUUCAAGUUCGAUGGGUUUUCUAGUCAGAGAAACUGGGGAAUUUUAGGGCUGGGGAUGUAGCUCAGUGGUACAGCUGUUGCCUAGCAUAUGUGAGUCCCUGAGUUCAAUCCCAAGCAUUGAAAAGAAAGAAACAAACUUUGGAAUAUUAAAUGCAACAACCAAACCCAUUUAGGUGCUGAACCUUGGGCUGGGUUUGACUCAGUUGAAUUUCCCACAGGGAACCAAGGGGAAGGUGAGAGGUGUAUGACCUUAAACUGCAGUCUCCAAGCAGAGCAGAUUUCAGUCUGCAUUUUUAGAUUAUACCUUCUCUUUAUUCCCCAUCACCUAACCCCUUACCAGCCCUGUCACUGAGCGAUUUCACUCCUACCACUGAGACCCUGCACCAACAUCCAUCUCCAUCCCUCGCUGUAGUCAUAUUCCAGCAUUUAUGAGUGUCUUCAUUCAUUUAAUAUCAAAUACCGACUAUGUGCCACAUACUAUGCUGUACUGAUGUUAUAAGACACACCAUCACCCUCAAGAAGCUUCCAUCUACCCAACACCCAACUCAAGGGACCACAGAGGUCACCUAAACUCAUCUGGGUGACCUAAAGAUAGCGUUGCACUCCUUUCCAGAAAAAAACACACAUGCACAGAAUAUUGCCUACACUUAAGGGUGGCACCAAUGCCCUGGAGCCCAUUUAUGAUUGGAGGGUCUGUGUACUCCACAUUGAAAACACUUGAUAUAAUUCAACCCUCUCAUUUGACAUAAUCAAAAUGGACUUAAUUAUCUGACAGAAAAAAAACUUAGACCUAGAGAGGAAAAUGUCCAAGGUCACACUGUGGGUAAGGUGCUGAGUGAGUCCCAGAAGCCAGGCCUCCUGGCUCCCCAGAUGCUGCUCUACCAGGCUUUUCCCAUCCCUUGUUGGUUAGGAGAAACUGGAUGGAGGGAGUGCGAGUGCCCUGUGCCAGUCCCCUUUCCAGCUGCCAUGCCUGGGAUUGCCAAACCUAUAGCCUCCCUUUUCCAGCACCUCUCUGACACCUCUGGGAGGGGCCAGUGGCCAGGAACUCCCUCAAUAGUGGCUUUGACCCUGACCACCCCAACUUGUUACAGACGUCAGGGGAAAUGCUCUAGAGUGAACAGGAUAUGUUUUCCUACAAAAUCAUUUAUCUCAUCAGAUAAUUUGCAUACAUGUGGGGACAUAAAUGUCAUUCCUUGCCCAUUUCCUCCCUAAAGAAAAGGGUUCCCAUCACAGCUUUCUUCUAAGAGAGGAGGCCACCACGCAGGCCCAGCUCCAGCUCUGGAAGAUGAUGCCUUCCUGAUGGGGGUGGGGACUGGGGGAUGAGUGCAGAGGUGGGGCCAGAGGUUAGUCAAGGCACCCAGAAGUGAUCUGUAAUAAGGCUCCUUUCUCAACCUCUCUUUUCUCAGGGCUUGGCUCCUAGGAGAGUCCCUGCUUUAGCUCUGGCAAAUGACCUGCUCCUGUUACCCCAGGACCCUGGGUAUCCCACGUUGUUCUUUAUUGCACUUUCUUGGGGCUUAGUUAUUGAAUAUUCAGUUGCUACCAAGGAGGAUUGAGGCUGUGCAUGGUGGCAUACACCUGUAAUUCCAGCUACUUGGGAGGUUGAGGAUCCCAAGUUCAGGGCCAACCUGGACAACUUAGACCCUGUCUCAGGGGGAAAAAAGAAAGAAAGAAGGAAGGAAGGAAGGAAGGAAAAGGGGCUGGGUUCAAUCCCUAGUACUAGGUGGAAAAAUAGUAGGAAGUGCUUGUGCUAUGCUUCAGACAUUGAUUUAAGUAUGCUACAUGUGCUGAAAAUUCACUUAAUCCUCACAGCAAUCUAUAGAAAUUGACUCUUAUUUUUCCAUUGUCCACAUGAGAAACUGAGUUUUAGAAAGGGUAAGUAAUUUGCCCAAAGUCACACAGCUGGUAAGAGGCACUGAUAGACUUUAAACUCAGUCUUUCUGGCUCUAAUAUCUAGGACUCUAAGUACUAUGUCAUAAGAGAGAUUUCGAAGGUUGUAAGUCUCUUUUAACCCCUGAAGGCAGUGUCGUACUGUAAUGUUGGUGUGACAUUUAAGGUCCCUUAUGAUCUUCUUCCAUGAUCCACUUGUGGAAGCAGCACACGAACAUGCGGGGCUGGUCCCCACAAAGUUUCAUUUGCUCCAACAGCACUUUCUCAUUUCUCUGAAACUUUUCUUUAGCCUCUGAGCUUCUAAUAUGUUUAGUUUGAGCAGGGCAGGCCCUUCUUUUCUUCUUUCCCAAGGUGGCUUUUAUCAAAUUGUCCCCUCUAAUUAUUGGUGAAUAAUAAUUAGAGGGGAUAAUUUGAUAAAAUUGUCUCUUAUUUCUAGGUUUCACUUACUUCCAAGGGUUGGGUGUCUAUCUUACUCAUGUCAGAAUUCUUAGCUUUAAGUCUAGCGUCUGACAUGUGGAAAAUACUCAAUAGAUGCCUGUUAUGUACAGUAAACAAAAUAUGUUACAAAAUAAUGUGUUCAUAUGCUAAAUACUGUGUAACAUAUACUAUGUAUACUGUACAUAACCCAAAAUAUUAGUUUAUUAGUGAUUUUUUUCACAGAAUUUUAGGGGUUACUGAUUUUUACUUCUUUGCUUAUAUAUUUUCCAUCAUGAACAUGAACUACUUUUGUAAUAAGAAACAAUGCAUUAUUUAAAAAUUGUUGGUAUAUGAAUAAUAGCUAAGAUUUAUUGAGCACAUACUACAUAAAAAUUAAGAGCUUUGCCAGGCACAGUGGUGCAUAUCUGUAAUCCCAGCAGCUCAGGAGGCUAAGGCAGGGGGAUUGCAAGUUUAAGGCCAGCCUCAGCAAUUUAGCUAGGCCCUCAGCAACUUAGCAAGACCCUAUCCCAAAACAAAAUCUAAAAAAAAGUUGGGAAUGGUUGGUACAAAAAAAAUACAUGUGGAAAAUACUCAGGAGAUGUGGCUCAAGCAGUAACAAGCUUGCCUGGCAUGUGUGGGGCACUGGGUUCGAUCCUCAGCACCACAUAAAAUAAAAAUAAAGAUGUUGUGUCCACCAAAAAAUGAAAAAUAAAUAUUUAAAAAUUUCUCUCUCUCUCUCUCUUUAAAAAAAAUCUAUUAAAAAAUACAUUAAGAGCUUAAUGCAUACUGUCUCUAACCCUUACAAAAGUUCUCCUAGGUAUGUACUAUUGGUAUUAUUACCAUUUUACAGAUGAGGAAACUGAGAGGUCAAGGUUAUAGGAUUAGUAAACAGUGAAGUUGAGUCCUGGUCUGUCAGACUACAGAGAUGUACCACAACCUCUCCAUAGACCAGCCUCUGGUGGAAGAUGGGUAGAUGACUAAGUUUCUCUCUUUUUAAAUAUCAUCUUUUAAAUUUUGAAAUAAUUUCAGAUACAAGAAUAGUACAGUGAAUUUCUGAAUAUCCUCCCAAUUUCAACAGUGGUUAAUAUUUUUUGCCACAUUUUAUCUCUUACUUUCUCUGUUUCUCCAUGUGUACAUAUUAUUAUAACAGCUUGAUUGAGGUAUAAGUCACAUGCCAUAUAGUUCACCAAAUUAUAUAAUCCAGUGGUUUUUAAUACACUCACCCAAAUAUGUGCGACCAUCACCACAGUCCCAUUUAGAACCUUUUCAUCACCUCCAGAAGAAACUCUGUACCUUUUAGCUAUUACUUUCCUACACCCCUCCACCUGAGCCCUAAGCAACUGCUAAUCUACUCUGUCUUUAUAGAUUUGCCUAUUCUGGAAAUUGCAUAUAAAUGGAACCAUAUGUCAUCUUUUAUGACUCACUUUAUUUCACUUAGCAUAAUGUUUUCAAGAUUCAUCCAUAACGUAGCAUGUACCAGUACUUUAUUCCUUUUUUAUGGCUGAAAAACAGUCCCGUAUAUGGAUAUAUCACAUUUAUCAGUUGAUGGACAUUUGCGUUGUUUCUACAUUUUGGUUAUUGUAAACAAUGCUGCUCUGAACAUUUGUGUACAAGUUUCUGUGUGGACAUGUUUUUCAUUUCUCUUGGGUAUAUAAAUCCUGGGUCACACAAUAUCCAUGCACACUUCAAGCCUUGUCCAUUGGCGGGUGCUGAGGUCAAGUCGCUUGGCUGCACAGGUGGGGAGAGACAAGCCCUGGUCUCUGCCCACCUUCUGCAGCCACAGGAUCCUACGGCAGGACACAGGGAGGGGACACGGGCUGUGGAAAAUUCCUCACCUGGAAGAUUCACUGGGAAGUGCCAAAGCAAAGAAAGAGGUUGUGUGGGCUUCUUCUGGGGCCUUUCCCAGGGACACUACGGGGCCAGCCAUGCAGGAGGGAAUGAGCCGGCGCCGACGCAAGCGUUUCCCG
rnacentral:lncRNA from 1 species